rnacentral:tRNA from 1 species
GAUAGCCUAGUGGUUAAGGCUACGGAUCACCCCUCCGGAGACGGUGGGUUCGAUUCCCGUUC